rnacentral:rRNA from 1 species
UGGGGAAUAUUGCGCAAUGGGGGGAACCCUGACGCAGCCAUGCCGCGUGAAUGAAGAAGGCCUUUAGGGUUGUAAAGUUCUUUCGGUAUUGAGGAAGGUUGAUGUGUUAAUAGCACAUCAAAUUGACGUUAAAUACAGAAGAAGCACCGGCUAACUCCGUGCCAGCAGCCGCGGUAAUACGGAGGGUGCGAGCGUUAAUCGGAAUAACUGGGCGUAAAGGGCACGCAGGCGGUUAUUUAAGUGAGGUGUGAAAGCCCUGGGCUUAACCUAGGAAUUGCAUUUCAGACUGGGUAACUAGAGUACUUUAGGGAGGGGUAGAAUUCCACGUGUAGCGGUGAAAUGCGUAGAGAUGUGGAGGAAUACCGAAGGCGAAGGCAGCCCCUUGGGAAUGUACUGACGCUCAUGUGCGAAAGCGUGGGGAGCAAACAGGAUUAGAUACCCUGGUAGUCCACGCUGUAAACGCUGUCGAUUUGGGGGUUGGGGUUUAACUCUGGCGCCCGUAGCUAACGUGAUAAAUCGACCGCCUGGGGAGUACGGCCGCAAGGUUA